AACCCGGUAGAUACCCCGUUACACCAUUGUUUAAAUUAUGUAGGCUGGAGGAAUAAAAAGUAAUAACUUCAAAAUUCAAAGAAUUUGGCGGUGCUUUAGCCCAGUUAGAGGAACCUGUUUUAUAAACGACACUCCACGUAGGAUUUUUCUUAUUUUUUGUUUAGCUAGUAUACCUUCAUUAUUAGAUAAUUUAAUUAUAAAAAUUAUUGGGAAAGAGCUAUUUGUUCUAGUAUAUUAGAUCACGGUGCUGCUAAUAAUUAAGUAAAAAUGGGUUACAAUAAAAUUUAUUUAUUACGGAGUUCAGGUAGGAAGCGGCUGAAUGAAGGAGGAUUUAAUUGUAAUAAGUUAUUUAAUAUGGUCUUUUGAUAUAGGCACUAA
rnacentral:rRNA from 1 species